rnacentral:rRNA from 1 species
CUUUAAGCCUUCACAUAAUAUUAAAUAUAUCUAUAGACUUAAAGCUCAAUCAAAUAGGGUACAGCCUAUUUGAAUCAGGAUACAGCCUUCAUCAGAGGGUAAUGCUAUAAUUAUGUGACCAAGUAGGCCUAAAAGCAGCCAUCUUUUAAAAAGCGUUAAAGCCUCCUCACAUACAACACUAAUCCCAAACCAAACCCAAAACCUCUUACCUAAACUGAAUGACUCCAUACCCAUAUGGAAGCCCUUAUGUUAAAACUAGUAACAAGAAUAACUUCUCCAAUAAAUGUAAGUGUAAGCCGAAAUGGACCACCCACCGGCACUUAUCGCUAAUGAGUCCAUAGUAAUAACCCCCCCCAAGAAAACCCUUACAUAUUCCGCGGUAACCUUACACAAGAACUUUCCUGGGAAGAAUAAAAA